GGCCACAUGGAUGAGGCUACUUUGUAGACUACGUUCCGCUCCGAUAGUGAUCAUGUCCUCUGAGGAAGAAAUGCGAAAACACCCACACUUAAAAUAAAUAAAGGCGAGAAUGCUCCGAGAGAUGGCAAAGUAACAAAGGCAACUGUCCCAAGUGCAGAGACCGCGCGCGCUGAACAGAAAGGAUCUGAAUCCUUCUUUUCUAGUGAUUUCUCAAACCACUUCAAGGAAAAUCAGAAUGGAGCUAAAAGUGUCACUGGACGGAAUUCCGCGUGUAGUCUGCGGGGUCACAGAGCAAACAACAUGCCAGGAGGUUGUCAUCUCUUUAGCUCAAGCUCUGGGACGCACUGGUCGCUACACACUGAAAGAGAAGUUCAAGGAGUACGAGCGCAAUGUGACACCGGAUGAACGUCUGCUGGAGUCGCUGGGGAAAUACGGCGAGCAGGUGCGCGAGGUUCAACUCACUCUCCACCGCAACGGCCCUCUCUCGGUGAAGAAGCUGGUCCUGGAACCGAUGCAGUCCGACUAAGGGGGGACGCUAUCAGAGUGGGGGGGGCCCAGCUGAGGCUAGCCAACGUACCAGGCCACGACCACCAAGGCAGCGAUGGGAAAACCUGAACCGUCAGAGCCUUCCCGCCUCUGUCCCGCCUGAGGUUUCACUCAGAGGCACACCCGAAGAGCCCAAGAGGCCCAAGAGGAAGUCCCUGACACUGAUGGAGGAAGCCUGGGAAUGGGCUGGAAGAGUGUGGGCCGCAGUGGUAAAAAGCAGCUAGGGCUGAGAGAUAAGGUCAAAGGCAGAGAUGGACAACGGCAGUGGCACAGCGACAGAGGAAACCGACUCUCUCAAAGCAUCUCUGAACCGCCAGGCCAGGUCAUCUCCCCUUUGCCUUUGCCACAUGGGAGGAACAGGAGGGAGAGGGGCAGGCCAAUGAGGUGCCAAAAGUCAUUAGUUGCCUUGGGAGUCGUGGCAGUGAUGAUCAGGUGAAUGACAAGAAAAAGCGAGCAGAGGCCAAAGCACAGAAGAGCAAGAAGAAAGACCCACAGGCCAACUUGCCUUUCCUGAAAGUGGAGGAGCUGCAUGUCAAGGCCAACAAGGAGGUUGAAGAGGAGAAAGAGGAACUGAGGAAGCUCACCCUUCUCCAGCAGUCCAGUCUUCUGGAGCUCCAGUCACAGAUAGACACAGCAGACAGUCAGAUCAGCAAGUUGGAAGAGUGGCGGGCAAAACAACUGGCAGAGGAACAAGCAACCGAGCAAAAGGCAGAGGCCCAACUGUGUCUGCUUGAAGAGGAAGCAGAGCAGCUAGACUUCUGGGAGAAUGAGCUGAAGGCAGAGGAGGGGUUUGAGAGGGACCUGCAGUGGCAGUUCCUGGAGCUGAAGGAGGAAGCAGCCGAUUGCAAAGCCCAGCUCCAGGAAUACCAACGCAAGCUUGAGGGGCUCAACUUCAGCUCUGGUCUGGCAAGCCUCUUCCCAAAACGUGAGGCCGGUCCAACGCAAAAUGGUGCAACCGAAACACCAAAUAGUCACAACAUACACUCUACAGUCCUGCAUUCUGUGUGCAAAACAGAACUGGGUAAGAACACAGGUCCGAAACAGAACGUAGGAAAUUCAGAGGGGCAGUCUGUGGGCUCAAAGCUCCCUCGUGUGUUUGUCGCUCCGGUUCGAGCUACAGACUCUAGGAUGAGCGAGAGGAGCCAUCUCAGAGAGUGGUGGACACGAUGGUCUGCCAGUCAGGGCUCCAUGGCAGGGACCAAACCCAAAGCCAUUCAUCGCUCAGAGAUCACUAUACAACUCAACAGCACCCGGGUCUGA
ensembl:lncRNA